rnacentral:pre_miRNA from 1 species
GGCGGGAGUGCAGGAUCCUGGGCUGUGUCCCCCGUUGCCCUGGGCUCCAGGACCUGCGCUGCUGGAAUCCUGCUCCCAGUGCCGCACAGCCCCCU